rnacentral:rRNA from 1 species
AUGUGGUGUUUUCUUCAAUAUGCAACUCCGUGGCAUAUUGAGCUCCACUUAAUUUGUAGUGUUGUUUGUUGCACUUUGCCAUGCCAUGCUUCUUUAAACCGGACAUGCAUCAUACUUGGUUGUGCAUCAUGCCAUGUUUAUGUGUUGGUUGUUUACUAUGUUGUUUGCUUCUUUCCGGUGUUGCUUCUUCGGGUUGGUUCCGAUAACGUCGCGUUUGUGAGGAUUCGUUCGACUACGUCCAUGUUUCUUCUUCAUGGACUCGUUCUUCUUCCUCGCGGGAUCCCAGGUGUCGUUGAUACCAAUGCAGAUGACGCAGCUGAGCUCAACUGGGAGCUCGAUGAAGAUCAUGUUCGUUGUGUUGUUUCGUUUCCAGUUGAUCAGUAG